rnacentral:rRNA from 1 species
AAAUUGAAGAGUUUGAUCAUGGCUCAGAUUGAACGCUGGCGGCAGGCCUAACACAUGCAAGUCGAGCGGUAGCACAGAGAGCUUGCUCUCGGGUGACGAGCGGCGGACGGGUGAGUAAUGUCUGGGAAACUGCCUGAUGGAGGGGGAUAACUACUGGAAACGGUAGCUAAUACCGCAUAACGUCGCAAGACCAAAGUGGGGGACCUUCGGGCCUCAUGCCAUCAGAUGUGCCCAGAUGGGAUUAGCUAGUAGGUGGGGUAACGGCUCACCUAGGCGACGAUCCCUAGCUGGUCUGAGAGGAUGACCAGCCACACUGGAACUGAGACACGGUCCAGACUCCUACGGGAGGCAGCAGUGGGGAAUAUUGCACAAUGGGCGCAAGCCUGAUGCAGCCAUGCCGCGUGUGUGAAGAAGGCCUUCGGGUUGUAAAGCACUUUCAGCGGGGAGGAAGGCGUUAAGGUUAAUAACUUGGCGAUUGACGUUACCCGCAGAAGAAGCACCGGCUAACUCCGUGCCAGCAGCCGCGGUAAUACGGAGGGUGCAAGCGUUAAUCGGAAUUACUGGGCGUAAAGCGCACGCAGGCGGUCUGUCAAGUCGGAUGUGAAAUCCCCGGGCUCAACCUGGGAACUGCAUUCGAAACUGGCAGGCUAGAGUCUUGUAGAGGGGGGUAGAAUUCCAGGUGUAGCGGUGAAAUGCGUAGAGAUCUGGAGGAAUACCGGUGGCGAAGGCGGCCCCCUGGACAAAGACUGACGCUCAGGUGCGAAAGCGUGGGGAGCAAACAGGAUUAGAUACCCUGGUAGUCCACGCCGUAAACGAUGUCGAUUUGGAGGUUGUGCCCUUGAGGCGUGGCUUCCGGAGCUAACGCGUUAAAUCGACCGCCUGGGGAGUACGGCCGCAAGGUUAAAACUCAAAUGAAUUGACGGGGGCCCGCACAAGCGGUGGAGCAUGUGGUUUAAUUCGAUGCAACGCGAAGAACCUUACCUGGUCUUGACAUCCACAGAACUUUCCAGAGAUGGAUUGGUGCCUUCGGGAACUGUGAGACAGGUGCUGCAUGGCUGUCGUCAGCUCGUGUUGUGAAAUGUUGGGUUAAGUCCCGCAACGAGCGCAACCCUUAUCCUUUGUUGCCAGCGGUCCGGCCGGGAACUCAAAGGAGACUGCCAGUGAUAAACUGGAGGAAGGUGGGGAUGACGUCAAGUCAUCAUGGCCCUUACGACCAGGGCUACACACGUGCUACAAUGGCAUAUACAAAGAGAAGCGACCUCGCGAGAGCAAGCGGACCUCAUAAAGUAUGUCGUAGUCCGGAUUGGAGUCUGCAACUCGACUCCAUGAAGUCGGAAUCGCUAGUAAUCGUAGAUCAGAAUGCUACGGUGAAUACGUUCCCGGGCCUUGUACACACCGCCCGUCACACCAUGGGAGUGGGUUGCAAAAGAAGUAGGUAGCUUAACCUUCGGGAGGGCGCUUACCACUUUGUGAUUCAUGACUGGGGUGAAGUCGUAACAAGGUAACCGUAGGGGAACCUGCGGUUGGAUCACCUCCUUA